GUGCUCACUUCAGUAGCACAUUUACUAAAAUUGGAAUGAUAUAGAGAAGAUGAGUGUGGCCCUUGUGCGAGGGUGACACACAAAUUUGUGAAGUGGUCCAUAUUUUU